rnacentral:rRNA from 1 species
UCGAACCUGCCCAGCAGAACGACCCGUGAACAUGUUUAGAACAAGGGAGUCGGGUACCGGACGGAGCCCCGUGCGCCGCCCUGCCCCCCGCCCAAGCAGGGAGCUCUCACCAGUGGGGCGCUCCCCGCUAAACAAACGAACCCCGGCGCGAAAAGCGUCAAGGAAUAGCGAAUCAACGUGCCCGCCCCCGUCCGGUCAUUCGGCAUGGGGGCGCGGUGCCCAUGUAUCUAACAAUAAACGACUCUCGGCAACGGAUAUCUCGGCUCUCGCAUCGAUGAAGAACGUAGCGAAAUGCGAUACUUGGUGUGAAUUGCAGAAUCCCGUGAACCAUCGAGUCUUUGAACGCAAGUUGCGCCCGAGGCCUCCGGCUGAGGGCACGUCUGCCUGGGCGUCACGCAUCGCGUCUCCCCCAAACCAACCACGUUGGAGGGGAAGGAGGAUGGCUUCCCGUGCCUCACCGGGCGCGGUUGGCCUAAAAUUGGAGCCCACGGCACGAAAUUGCCGCGGCGAUAGGUGGUGAGCAAGGCCUCGGCCGAGUAAGCAACCCGUCGCGGUGUUCUGNCGCGGGCUCGACGGACCCUUUUGCCUUGCCUUGUGCAUUGCAAACCCUUGCGACCCCAGGUCAGGCGGGG